CAAAGGCUUGGUCCUGGCUUUACUAACAGCUCUAACCAAAUUUACACAUGCAAGUAUCCGCACCCCCGUGAGAAUGCCCUACACACCCUGCCCGGGAACUAGGAGCCGGUAUCAGGCACACCCCGUAGCCCACGACACCUUGCUCAGCCACACCCCCAAGGGAAGCCAGCAGUGAUAAACAUUGAGCCAUAAGUGAAAACUUGACUUAGUUAUGGUUUAGAGGACCGGUAAAACUCGUGCCAGCCACCGCGGUUAUACGAGAGGUCCAAGUUGUUAGUCCUCGGCGUAAAGAGUGGUUAAAGUACAAGACAUAAAACUGAGGCCGAAUUCCUUCAAGGCAGUUAUACGUUUCCGAAGGCAAGAAGCACAACCACGAAAGUGGCCUCACCCUACUUGAACCCACGAAAGCUAAGACACAAACUGGGAUUAGAUACCCCACUAUGCUUAGCCCUAAACAACGAUGCUUAUCUACACCCACCAUCCGCCCGGGUAUUACGAGCAUUAGCUUAAAACCCAAAGGACUUGGCGGUGCUUUAAAACCAUCUAGAGGAGCCUGUUCUAGAACCGAUACCCCCCGUUAGACCUUACCCCUUCUUGUUCAUCCCGCCUAUAUACCACCGUCGUCAGCCUACCCUGUGAAGGAUAAAUAGUAAGCAAAAUUGGCACAGCCCAAAACGCCAGGUCGAGGUGUAGCGUAUGAAGGGGAAAGAAAUGGGCUACAUUCUCUAUUUAGAGAAUACGAAUGGUGGGAUGAAACGCCCGCCUGAAGGAGGAUUUAGCAGUAAGCAAGAAACAGAGUGUCUCGCUGAAACCGGCCAUGAAGCGCGCACACACCGCCCGUCACUCUCCCCAAGCUAUAUUACAACUAUAACUAAUAAAAUGCCCUGCACAAAGGGGAGGCAAGUCGUAACAUGGUAAGUGUACCGGAAGGUGCACUUGGAAAAAC
rnacentral:ncRNA from 1 species